GCGGUGCUCACUUCCUGGUGCUCAGAACCUGGGGUAGGGGCGUCCCUCUGCUGCCAGCCCAUGGUGGUGGUUCAGCAUCACCCAGCUCCCUCUCUCGGAGCUUCUGACUCUAGGGAUAGGAAAGGGUCAAGGAAUCCGUAUUUUUAAAACAUGUAUAUUUCACAUGACUAUUUUCAAGGCAGUUCGGGAAACUGCAUCCUAAGGAAAGGAAAUCUACUGGACUGGGGAAAAAAAGAAGCUGAGAGGACCCCUCGGCGACAUCUGAUGAGAAAACCGAGGCUUGGAGUGUGUAAGUGAGUUGCGGAGGCCCCCAGAGGGGGAGCUGAAGAACUCGGAUUUAAAUCCAGGCAGAGGGGCUUCAGACGUUGGUCUCAAACUCCUGGGCUCAAGUGAUCCUCCUCCCUCAGCCUCCCAUGAGAUGACUUUGACCAGAGAAGAAGAUGAGACUGAGCUGGACGUGUGAAGGCCAAGAGGGAAAGUGGGCUUUGGCAGUGCUGUGGAGUAGAACUUUCUGUGAAGAUGGGAAGUGGGGUCUCCACACCAGGAUGGAGGAAGCACGGUCCAUCGCUGGACCAAGACCUGUACUCCCUGCCCAGUGAAGCCCUGGCUUCGUGCUGUGUGACUGUGACAGUUUUUUCAACCUCUCUGGACCUCAAUUUAUCUUCCCAUUUGACAAUAGUAGGAGUAACAGACUUCUCAACUCCCCUAGGAGUAAGACUGAAAGGGACAGAACUCAAAAGCAGCUCAAGGAAUUGCAGUUAGACAUCAGGGUGAAUUUCCCUUGCUGUAGGCCAGGGCUGAAAUAAUGUGCACAAGGAAGCCUGAGGAUGGUCCUUUCCAUCUUCUUCUCAUGGGGGAUAUCAACUCAGUAUCUUGUCAAAAGAAGUACUGCUAUGAAACCCGGUGAGCACAGCCCUGGGCACAGUUAAUGCAGAAUAAGGUUUAUGGAGCAAAUGAGCAGCUGCAGUGGGGCCAAACUCAGUCUCCUCCCACUCCACCAGAAACCCUGUUAGUGCCCAUAGAAGGAUGUUCCAAGGAUGACCCUCAAUGAUCCCCACCUCCUGGUAUCACACCCUUGAGUGUGGGCUGAACCUAGAGACUUGGUUCUAAAGAAGAGCAUGCAGAAAGAGUGAUGGGUGUCACUUCCAUGGUUAGGUUACAAAAGACUGCGACGUCCUUGCUCCUGGUACUGUUAUUGUUCUUCUGGCUUGCAUGCUUUGUUGAAGCAAGCCACCGUGCUGGAAAGACCCAUGGGUGAGUGAGGGUGGCUGCCAGCCAACAGCCAGCAAAGAACUGAUUUCUGCCAACAAGCAUGGGAGUGAGCUUGGAUGUGGAACCUUCCCCAGUCCAGCCUUGGAAUAAGACCACAGCCCCAGCUGACACCUUGAUUGCAACCUCUGGAAGACCCUGGCAUGUGGAACCUAGCAAGGAACCUAGCCCAAUUCCUAACCCACAGAAACUGAGAUAACAAAUGUGGUUCUUUCAAGU